UACGGGGGGGGCAAGCGUUGUUCGGAAUUACUGGGCGUAAAGGGCUCGUAGGCGGCCAACUAAGUCAGACGUGAAAUCCCUCGGCUUAACCGGGGAACUGCAUCUGAUACUGGAUGGCUUGAGUUUGGGAGAGGGAUGCGGAAUUCCAGGUGUAGCGGUGAAAUGCGUAGAUAUCUGGAGGAACACCGGUGGCGAAGGCGGCAUCCUGGACCAACACUGACGCUGAGGAGCGAAAGCGUGGGGAGCGAACAGG
rnacentral:rRNA from 1 species